GGCUAGUCCCGCCAGAGCGCGAGCCGCCAGCCCGUAACGGUCGCCAGUGUGAGGGGCGGGAGGGAAAGAAGAGGGGUUUAAAUUAGAUUUUUUAAAACACAGAGCAAGCGCCAGAGGCGUCGGCAUCCCAGGUGUCGCCGCUUCCUGCUGCACAGGGCUCGGCGUACAGGUCCCUCCCUCCUCAAGCCCCCUCCCCUUCUCCCGCCCUACCCUCUGGGGCUCUGCGGCGCUUAAGAGGCGGCCGCAGCGGCGGAUCCGGCGGCUGCUGCAGCCCGGGCGGCUGCCGAGAAGGAGGGAGGGGAAACACAAAGCCGGCUACGCGCUGCGAGAUAACAAGAGUAAUCCACAGACUUAAAACAUGAGCUCAGAUGCCAGCCAAGGAGUGGUGACCAGUUGCUUCCAGUCUUUCAAAGGAGAAAUGGACAUCUAAUUUGUGUAUUUGAUUUGCAGAGCCUUAAUGACAACCUAGUAUUGUGUUUGGUGGUUUAAAUUUUGUGUGUUUUCUGGGUAUAGCACUUUAUUAAAGGAGGAUACCCAAUUCAGACUGAAUAUGUAAAGAAAAGAAAGGCAUGACUCAAGUCAUAGGAACCAAUAAAUAAGUUAGGUAUAUCCCAUGCACGUAUUUUCUUCUUCCUUUGGGUACCUUGACGCUCAGAGUGGCAUGAGAAGACUUAAGGUUUUUGAGGAAGUCUGUGAUUUGGCAGCCUAGUAUUACAUAUGUCUACUGCAAGCACACGUGACUACACACUAAAUUAACUAAAUUAAAAGUAGAUUAUAGGCCAGGCUCAGUGGCUCACAGUGUAAUCCCAGCACUUUGGGAAGCCGAGGCAGGAGGCUCACUUGAGCACAGGAGUUUGAAACCAGCCUAGGCAGCAUAGUGAAUCCUUGUCUCUACAAAAAAAUUUAAAAAUUAACUGGGUGUGGUGGUGUGCACAUGUAGUCCCAUCUACUCCUGGGAGGCUGAGGCAGGAGGAUCACUUGAGCCCAGAAGGUCAAGACUGCUGUGAGCCGUGAUCAUGCCACUGCAUUCCAGCCUGGGCAACAGAGUGAGACCUUACCU
rnacentral:lncRNA from 1 species